CACGUAGGGCGCAAGCGUUGUCCGGAAUUAUUGGGCGUAAAGAGCUCGUAGGCGGUCUGUUGCGUCCGCUGUGAAAACUCGGGGCUUAACCCCGAGCCUGCAGUGGAUACGGGCAGACUAGAGGUAGGUAGGGGAGAAUGGAAUUCCCGGUGUAGCGGUGAAAUGCGCAGAUAUCGGGAGGAACACCUAUGGCGAAGGCAGCUCGCUGGGACGUUACUGACGCUGAGGCGCGAAAGCGUGGGGAGCAAACAGG
rnacentral:rRNA from 1 species